UACGAGAGGCCCAAACGUUAUUCGGAAUUACUGGGCUUAAAGAGUUCGUAGGCGGCGCGGAAAGUGGGGUGUGAAAGCCCUCGGCUCAACCGAGGAAUUGCGCUCCAAACUACCGUGCUUGAGGAAGCUAGAGGUGAGCAGAACUGAUGGUGGAGCGGUGAAAUGCGUUGAUAUCAUCAGGAAUACCGGAGGCGAAGGCGGCUCACUGGGGCUUUUCUGACGCUGAGGAACGAAAGCCAGGGUAGCGAACAGG
rnacentral:rRNA from 1 species